GCUGGCGGCUGCUUUACACAUGCAAGUCGAACGGCAACACGGGGGUAACCCUGGUGGCGAGUGGCGAACGGGUGAGGAAUACAUCGGAACGUAUCUUUAAGUGGGGGAUAACGCAUCGAAAGGUGUGCUAAUACCGCAUAAUCUCUGAGGAGAAAAGCAGGGGAUCGCAAGACCUUGCGCUUUUGGAGCGGCCGAUGUCUGAUUAGCUUGUUGGUGAGGUAAAAGCUUACCAAGGCUUCGAUCAGUAGCUGGUCUGAGAGGACGACCAGCCACACUGGGACUGAGACACGGCCCAGACUCCUACGGGAGGCAGCAGUGGGGAAUUUUGGACAAUGGGGGCAACCCUGAUCCAGCCAUGCCGCGUGAGUGAAGAAGGCCUUCGGGUUGUAAAGCUCUUUCAGCCGGAACGAAACGGUUACGAUUAAUACCCGUAACUACUGACGGUACCGGAAGAAGAAGCACCGGCUAACUACGUGCCAGCAGCCGCGGUAAU
rnacentral:rRNA from 1 species